UAAUACCCAAAAAAAAUAAUAUUAAAUAAUAAAAAUUAUUUUGUUUGAAAGCAUAUUAAUUGGACUUUGUCCAUUAUUUUGGGUCAAAAUAGUUAUUUAAUUUGUGUGGACUAAUAAAUAUUAAUAAGAGAUGGGUAAAUUAAUUUAGUACAAAUUGGGCCUUAAAAAUUAAUUGGGUUUAAUUUAUGUGGGUAGUAUUAAAAUCCUAUUAUAAUUAGGAGAAAUAAUAAGAUAAUAAAUAAAACCUAAUUCACUUAAACAUUUCGCCUGAUACGAGUUGGGGAAAAGAAGGAAGAAGCGGCAUCAUAGCAGCAUAAAGAAGAGAACACGAGGCUUUUAUUUCGGUACUAAUUAAUACCUUUUCGUUGAGAAAUUGAUUUAAUGUUAAAACAUCUUGCAUAUUGAGGGCAUACAUCAUAGAUAUUUGAGNNNN
rnacentral:lncRNA from 1 species